rnacentral:misc_RNA from 1 species
ANCGCAAGACAAUCUGACAAUAUUCACCACCGCUCCUCGAGACGCGGUCUCCGUCCCUUGGCUCGGAUUUCGGGGUUCGCGUGCGGUAACAACUGGGAGACCAUCUUCCGUCUCCGCCAUCCGGCCCAUAAGGAGGUGGUGGGGGGGACAACCAUUUGUGACACCCAAGCGUACGUGCCCUCGGCCAGAAGGCUUGCGGCGCAUCUUGCGUUCAAAGACUCGAUGGUUCACGGGAUUCUGCAAUUCACACCAAGUAUCGCAUUUCACUACGUUCUUCAUCGAUGCGAGAGCCGAGAUAUCCGUUGACGAKAGUCGUUUUAGACUUUUGAUUUUCCUUGCAAGCAUCCGCGGACGCWCCGUCUCCGGGGCCGAAAAUGCCCACCCGUUCUAUUGCMUGUUCCUUGACCCUUUCGGUGCCGUGGUUUGGUUAACCCCCGAACCAACGCSCUAAGACCAGAUCGGGACAUAAGUCCGAU